rnacentral:antisense_RNA from 2 species
GGUAGGACGGGAGGGGGACGCGCUCGCGCGUGCUGGUUCCUUGGAUCCCAGUCUGCUAACCCCCUUUCGUUCUACCACCA